AUACAAGAGAACAUCGGCAACACUCUCUCUCUCUCUCUCUCUCUCCCUCCCUCCCUCACGCAGCUUCUUCCUCUCACGGUAGUAGCUCUCCGUUCUAGCCAUCCUCAUAGUCGUAGCCUUCCUCUCUUUUGUCCGCACACCAGUAACCUUGCACCACCAUUCUAGCAAGCCCAGGAGCUCCUCCGAUAGCACAUAGCCACCACCCAGCCACCCUGCCUUGCACUACCAUUCUAGCAAGCCUAGCAGCUCCUCCGGUAGCACAUAGCCACCGCAGCCUCGCCCAGCUCUUCCUCACCCCCUCUCCUUCUCCUAAAGCUUCUUUCUCUUCCUUCUACGUGAUUGAUCUCAGUUUAUUUUCCCACAUGGUAUCAAAGCUUUCUGAGAUCAAUUGCUGCACUUCCUCAAUUAUGGAGUGAUGAAUUUUGGCGAUUAAAGCCAGCCUCCUCAAUUGAAGAUCUCAGGAGUUUCUUGAAGCUCAAAGGAAGGUGACUUGAUUUUCUUUAAUGGCGUCCUCUUCCUCUACCUCCUCUAUCAAUCUUGCAGAUGAUUCUUCAAGUCCUUAUCAUCUCAAUAAUGCCGAUAAUCCUGGCAUUCAGCUGGCUACACAACUUUUAACUGGAGAGAAUCAUAAUGCUUGGAAUCAAUCAAUGCAAAUGGCUCUACGAUCAAAGAAUAAACUUGGUUUCAUCGAUGGAAGUCUUGCCUUGCCAUCUAAUGUUUUAGAUCUAGCACAUAAUGCAUGAUUACGGUGUAAUGAUAUGGUCUUCUCAUGGUUACUCAAUUAUGUAUCAAAAGAGAUAGCAGCAAGUUGUAUCUACAUUGAUACUGCAAGAGAACUUUGGUGUGAUUUGCAGACAUUGCCUGCAAACUAAUGCCCCCGCAAAUUUUUCAGAUUCAAUAGGAAAUUGGAAGUUUGGUACAA